rnacentral:lncRNA from 1 species
UCUUCUCCAGAACCUUCAGUGUUUAUUCCCAAACACACUCUGCUACUUCCUACAGAACAUUUGAGGCAGAUGCUGCCAGAAACUCUGGGCAUCAAUGUCAGCUCCCUUAUUAACAGGCCAAGAUUUCCCCAUGGCUUUAUGCAAGAUUUAACAGUAGUUGUUGUUCUGGUGGCUAACAGGUGAAAUUAUUUAGGUUCUGAAAACAGAAAGCAUUUUGUAAGGCAUCAGCCUUCCCUGAAGCCUUUGUAUGGUCAGAGGCAUGGCACAGUCCCUGUCUCCCAAGAAGGAAGAAAAGUCCUUCUCAUUGGCCCAAAAGAUUUGAAGUAAUCUUUUUCAAGCUUAGGGUAGUGGAGAUGGCUAUAAUGAAAGGUCAGCCUUCUCUUAGAUGAAGGACACAUUUGAGUCUUUAACUGUAUACACAUAACUGUGUCAAAUGACUUUUAAUCUUUUCUGUAGGUUGUUGCCUAAUCAACCAAACCCACCAUUCUCUUUCUUCAUUAAAUAAUUGGUGCUCAGCAGCUGCAGUGGACCAUUUCAAUGGCCCUAGCACUCUCAUCAGCAUUACUCUGAAGAGCCAGAGACAUUACAUGACAAAUUCCUUCUCUCCAUCUCUCUUAUUCACAUAGGACUCUGAUAGCCAAUCAAGCAUUCAGCAGUUUUUUUCCAGACUAUGCCUCAUGUGAUCACUCCUAAUGAAAACUACCCUACGUAUGAACUACUCAAUACACAGACACAUUUCUUCUUUUAAUAAUCAUUUAAGAAAAUAACAGAGUCUGGAGGGUGAGGGAGAGCUGUGGUUGGGUUGUAAUAUAUGAGAGCAGAAAGGAAAGAAAGAAAGAAAGAAAGAAAGAAAGAAAGAAAGAAAGAAAGAAAGAAAGAAAGAAAGAAGGAAAGAAAGAG